rnacentral:lncRNA from 1 species
CUGCAAUCUCUGUCAAUUAACCUUCUGUUAGACAUAAUUUAUUCUUUUAGGAGAAGAGAUAAUUGCCUAUAUGCCCCUCAAAACUUCAUAAAUAUUUCAUUUACUCCUACUUUUUUAUUUUUCUUUCCAAUAUACCCCUCAAGCGUUCCUCCGUUAUUGCAAAAUACCACCGCAGUUACCACCCGUUAAGUUAAUUUGGGUUAAACUUGAGUUAAAAAUAUCUACCACAGUUAAAAAAAAUUAAAAUAUCACUUUUGCCCUUAACUUAAGGGCAAAUAAAAAGUAUUAGUAAUGGUAGAAGGGUAUAUUUGAAAUUAAAGACCAAAAAAUAAAAUACUUUUUGUGCCCCUAACCUAAGGGUAAAUAAGAAAAGUCGGUGAUGGUAGAAGGGUAUAUUUGAAAAGGCAAAAUAGUAAUUUCAUAGAGAUAACAGAGUUCAUUAACAGAUUUUAACUCUAGAGGUAUAUUAGAAAUAGGUUGAAACGUAAAAAAGGUAUUUUCAAUAUUAGCCUUCUAGGAGGGAUAAAUCAAAAAGUCGAGAACUUUUCAAGAGUAUAUAAGCAAUUGCCCCUAGGAGAAAUAGGUCUUUUCAAAUAUUUUGUAUCCAAAGCAUUA